AGUGGGGAAUUGUUCGCAAUGGGCGCAAGCCUGACGACGCAACGCCGCGUGGAGGAUGAAGGUCUUCGGAUUGUAAACUCCUGUUGAUCGGGACGAAAAGCUCCAACCCAAUACGUUGGAGACUGACGGUACCGGUUGAGGAAGCCACGGCUAACUCUGUGCCAGCAGCCGCGGUAAUACAGAGGUGGCAAGCGUUGUUCGGAAUUACUGGGCGUAAAGGGCGCGUAGGCGGCCUUCUAAGUCGGACGUGAAAGCCCCAGGCUUAACCUGGGAACUGCGUCCGAUACUGGGAGGCUUGGAUUCGGGAGAGGGAUGUGGAAUUCCAGGUGUAGCGGUGAAAUGCGUAGAUAUCUGGAGGAACACCGGUGGCGAAGGCGGCAUCCUGGACCGAGAUCGACGCUGAGGCGCGAAAGCUAGGGGAGCAAA
rnacentral:rRNA from 1 species